GUCUCUCUGAUGAGGCCGAAAGGCCGAAAACCCGGUAUCCCGGGUUC
rnacentral:hammerhead_ribozyme from 2 species